GCAGCUCAGUAGGAGAGCAUUUGCUCAGCAUGUAAAUAGCCCUUGGUUCCAUCCCCAGCAUCUCCA